rnacentral:snoRNA from 1 species
UUGCACAGCGAACACCCAGGGAUGCUAAUGUGGCUCUCCCUGGUCUCCCACUGUCUGUGCUAAAGUGAUUCUGAUCUUUACCUCUGCAUUAGGAGAGUGUUAGCCUCUUCUACAUGUAUUCAGUUGAUCAGGACAAAC